AGGCCUGGCAAGGGGAGGCGUCGGUCUCCGGUCCGUCCAUUUGUUUGACUUCGGCUUGACCGCCUGUGAUCCAACGGUGCUGGUUUUGACUUUCACGGCUUUGACAUCUCUUGUCGAUUAAAAACCUGUCAGACUCGGACAUCAUUUUUAUUUUUUGUUUUCGUUUUUUUUUCUCUUUUACCGUUGUCAGCAAAUAGUUAAUUGGUCGUUGUUGGUUGGGUGCUUCUCCGGUUCAUUAAGGAGAUCGGUCCCGGGCGGAAUUCGGGUGGCUAUCAGAACUUCUUCUUAUAGUAGAAUACGAACCACGGAGGGAUGAUUCAGCGGCCGCCUUGAGGUAAAUCUCGGGUAAUUUGGUGCAAAAUACAUAUCAUUGGAAAGCUUAUCCAGUAAGAGUUCAACGCUUCAAACGGUGCUCAAAUCGGAGCUAAAAUGGAGGAGAUAUGUUAAAUGGAAGACAAGCUGCGCAGAAACGGAAAGAUUCGAAAGUGCCUUGGCACCAGAUUUCAGUGCUGCACCACUAAUGCUACUGCCCUUUGGCCGACCUGAGUCUCUUGCCCGUGAUUUCUCUUAGAUAUUUUGGGUCAAAGAGAUAUGUUUGAGAUGUAUUUGGGUGGUUGUUUAUAGGAAAAAGAUUGACGUUGUCUAUAGAUAUAUUUUUGCAGAGAAAGAUGGGGAAAUUAGAGAAAAAUUAGGAAAUUGAUUCUCGGGAGAUAUUUUUGCUAAUAAUGGAAUUCUUUUUUUAACAAGAGGGCUGAGCGUUCAAGAGGGGAGAGGUGUUCGUGGGGCAGAGGAGAUGCCUGGAGCAAGGAGGAGAAGUUCGAGAAGAUGGAGUCCGAUGGUCUCGAGUUAGAAAACCGAGCCACUUUCCUUCUUGUGAUCUUUUACUUUUCUUGUCUCUGUGUUAUCUAUCCGCUAUCAAAUGAUUAUUUUCAUUAUCUUUAGCAUGAACUAAUUUCUUUUGCCUAGGGUUACCAUAGAUCUUGAUAGUUGAUCGAGAGCAGUGAACUCUCUCAUUAUUUUUAUCGAAUGAAGUUUCAGUUAUUUAUUCCUAUGCAUGCAUAAUGUUUUUCAAUUACUUGAUCAUCAAUUGGAUUGACUUGGUAAUCUAGAAGAACUCGGCCGUGAAAGGAUUAGCCUAAAUUAAUCUUGGUCGGAAGAUGAGAUUAUUAGUGAAAAGGAUAGGAAUAUACCGGCUUGCCUUAGGUAGUCGAUUUAGGAUUGAUUCGUAAAGGGUUCUUGCUAAUUGUUUUGUCUAUGAAUAGAGUGAGUAAUUAUUUACAAGAGAAUACGUUCCUAUGAUACUCGGAAGAGGGGUAGGAAGACGUUAUAAUCCUAGAUUAACAAAUGUUUAUUCGAUGUUAUUAAGAGAGAGGAAUCGACUCGAGAUUAAUUGGUAAGUGAAAAUGUACACCCUAGGUCCAUUGUCAUUGAUUUUAAAUCUCAAUUAAUUUGCAUGCUUUUAUUUAAUUUAAUUAGUUUAGAAAAAUCAUCGGAAAUUUGAUUGUUUGAAUAAUAGUGGGCUGACACAAUUUUAGUACUCGAUAGAAGUUGAGUUAGGUCUCUGUGGGAACGAUACUCUUACUCUUACUUUAUUACUUGAACGAUAGAGUGCCGUUGCAUUGAUACGCUUUUAUCGUAACAUGUUUUUGGCGCCAUUGUCGGAGACCAAGUCUUUAUUUUUAGCUUUUGCUUAAUUAUGAUCGGUUUUCUUGAUUUUCAGGGAGAUUUGCGUCUGGUCAUGGCAUCGGCAAAUUAUCAAUGGCUGGCAAAGAGUAUGAGGCCAAGUGUAGAAGCAAUUAUAAUUGAACCAAAGGGGAUACGUUUUUGUAGAAGCAAUUGUAAUUAUUACUUGAGCGAUAGCUUGUACUUAUGUUGAUAUUUUCUUAUGGUAACAAUUAUAUAUUUAAAUCU